CCUGCAAAACAUGUACCAAAGCUUUACACCAUUUGAUAAAUAUAUAAAAUUUAUGGUGCACUACUUAGUCUAUGCAAAUUGCAUGAAAUGUAGGCAUAUAUAUUAAUUACCUCAAAUGUCUCUGCUUUGUGCUUAAUAAUAUGAAAACGUUAAUUUCUAAAUAAUUUUUUCUGCACCUUCAUAGAUGUAGCUAAUGGAUUCUAUUUGCUUUCACGCUCACCUCUUUUAUCUGUGCCCCACCCCUGUCAAUCCCCCCCCCAAAUUCUUGAUGUGGGAGUGUCAUAUCAAUCUGUUGAUUUCAUUGGCUGAGCAAUAAAGAAACUGCUUGGCCUGAUAGGUUAAAGCAUUGGUGGGAGGAGUAAACAGAAUAGGAUGCUGGGCGGAAGAGGAAGUGAGGUCAGACUCUGCUCUGCUCCCGGAGAGACCCAACAGCUCUGCUCUCUGGAGCAGAGACACCAGGAUGGACGGAGGCUAGACUCUUCCCGCCCCCCAAAUGUCCAGAUGUGUCAAACAUCUGCUCACACAUGAGAGCAGCUACUGUGAUCUCUCAGGGUUGUAACCGCUGUGACCCCCAUCUUAAUGAAGCCGUGGUCUGCUCCGUACAGCGUGGGAGCCCUCAGCACACUGUGAAGACAAGUUGCAUUCAUUGGGCAGACGCAUGCGUAUAGAAUUCCCAAGGAUUACUCUGCUUCUGCAGCCAAGGACCACUGCUCAUGUGGCCUGUGGGAAGUGGAGCUCCAUGUGGCUCAGUCUGAGUCGUGAAGCAGCCCUGCGGGAGAAUGGCAGCACCGUAGACAUCUGGGGACAUCAUCUGGAGCCAUCCCAAUGCACCAACUUCCUGACAAGCUUUUUGAUUCAAAGGAAGUGACUUGGUCAUUGAAGAAGCCCCUGUGUCUGGGGACAGGCCUCGUGGAAGAUCCUGGAGGAGUAGCAGACUUUUGGGAGCACUGGACCCUUCAGCCUGUGCCCACCCACCUAGCACUUACAGGGUUUCUCCUGACUACUGCUUCUUCAGGGGCCCCACCCUGGGCCUGAUGCAUACUGGCCCGAGUGUUCCCGAGCCCACACAGCCCGACGCUGCUUGUCGUGAGUGUGCACUGUCCUCUGGUUUCUGUGUGAUUCAUGAGCUUCUCUCCCAGUCCCUUCACAGCAUCCAGCCAGGAUCUUGUCACAGCCCCGCUUCAGAUGGCACUGGCCUUCAAGGACUACUCAAUCUCUCCCCAAAGCAUUUCCAAGCCAUCCUUGCAAGUCAAGGUGUUCAAAACCUGCUGCUGCAAGAGCAGCAAACAGGAAAAAAAACUUUAGGAACCGAGGUAGAGAACUGAGCAGGAAGGAAUGAGGCUGACUUGUGGCAGGUUGCUAAGCAACCUAUCCCGAGACAGAUGUGCUAGGAGCUAAUGAAAACACCUCUAAAAAAUGAGUUUUAAAAUGGAAGGAUUAUCAAAUUUAUGGUGCUUUUUGAUGGAAUUUUAUGAAGUUCUUUAUCUCUGAUACUUAAUACAUUGAGCACAAGAAUUUAUUCCUUCUUUAGUGGUGGAAAAAGUUGCUAUUGCUUUUCCUGGGAAGGUGUAUGGUGGGAACGCGGGUGGUUUUAGAACAGGAGGACUCUCCUGAGUAGCAAGGACUAAAACUAGAGACAUUAUUCUGCUUCCAGAACUUGUUGAUUUGGGUUCAUGAGAGUUGCCCAGAGACAUUGUUCAUAGGUAUUUAUAAAGAAAUAUAUGCUGGCCUCGGGCCUGGAAAUCCACACGGGAAACACCCUCUGUGUAGAGACAGUACUGCGUGUUUGUGUCAUGAGGCUCUGCUUACUUCCAUUCUUCCAACUCAACACCAGUUUUUCAACCUUCUGGAAAGGGGAGUCCUACACAUCCUUCACAUAUGUAUACACAUGUGCAAACAAGUAGAUGUGUGUGUUUACAUAUGUGUAUUUGGGGGGAUGAGUUCAAGCCACUCGGAUUUCAUCCUUACGAACCUGUGUUUUGAAAAUGCCCACAGGCAUGGUUUUGGGGGUUCGCGAGAGCACUCCUGGCACCUACACGUGGUUAAUACAGAGGGAAACGCAGUGCAGAUAUGGUGGCAACCCAGCCUUUGCUUGUCAUCCUCCCUGGCCCAGGUCAGCUGCUCAAGCAGGACAAAGAUUGAAGAGACAGCAGCAGCCAGGGCCGGCUGCACAUUUGGCGUUAAUGCAUCAGAUGACUCAUAGGUCAGAAGCAGAUUUUUCAAGCUCCGCUCUGCCUGAAACGGACCCAGUUUCCCUGGGCCUCACAUCCUGUUCUGUCCCCUUGGAAAACAACAUCAAAAGGAACACACAUUGAUUGAUUUCUCCUUCUCGCUCACUCUCUUUUUUUUUUCUGGUUCUAAAAGUUUUCUGUCAUUCUUGUAAGUCUGUAGUUAGUUUAAUAUUUAAAAUAUGAGCUUCUAAAACAAACUCCCAUGAGUGCUGCAUGGCCACAUUUGGUUUUGAAGUUCUCAAAAAUUCCUUUCUGGUUUUUGUUAAUACAAAGGGGAAAAGAAAGAAAGAAAAGACAAAUGGGGACAGGAAAGGGAUUUUCCAACAUUUUCCUAAAACAUCUACUCACAGACAAACACCAGCAAGACAAUUUAUUCUAACAUUGCAGCAAAGACUUUCCAGGCACCAAAAAACAAGGCAUGUUGCGACAACUUUAAGACAAAUUGCUGGCAACACCAUCUCUGCUUUUUCCUGAGGAGUCAGAAUUUUCCAAGCACUUGUAAAGACUUAAGCUUUUCUAUGCCCUCAGAGAUUAUUAAAUUUCAGUCUCCGUGAGGUGUUUGUCAAUAUUUUCAGAGGACAGGGAAGAGUCGUAUGACUGCAGUGUCCAGUUUAUGCUCACCAAGAAAAGAAAACUACAUACAGGGUGGCGAUGUGCUUCAGCUGGUAGAGCACUUACCUAGCAUGUAAGAUGUCCGGGGCUUGAUUGGCAGCACUACAUAAAGCAGGCAUGCUGAUGUGGGCAGAGAAUCUCACCAUAGUUAGUAGAAGGCAAGAGGAUCAGAAGUUUGAGGUCUUCCUUAGACCUUGUAUGUGUUGCAGGAUUGAGGACAGCAUGGUAUACAUGAGACCUUCUUUCAAAAUAAAUUCUAAAUUUUUUAAGGGAAAGAUCUGGAGCAAUGGCUCAGCAGUAAAGAACACACACUGUUCCACACAGGGCCAGAGUCUGAGUCCCAUCGGGCAUCUCACAGCCACCCGCAACUCCAGUGCCAGGAGGAAACAUGUCUUUGGCCUUCUCAAGAGCCUGCACUUACGUGGAUAGACACUCUGGCUAUGUACACAUCAUUUAGAAUUAAAAUGUAUAGGGGUACUAACUUGUUUGUUGUAGGGUUAAGCCAGCCCCCCUUAGGGGGCGGGCUUGCCUCGAGCAAAGGUUUAC